GAUGAAGAACGUAGCGAAAUGCGAUAAGUAGUGUGAAUUGCAGAAUUCAGUGAAUCAUCGAAUCUUUGAACGCACAUUGCGCCCCAUGGUAUUCCGUGGGGCAUGCCUGUUCGAGCGUCAUUUACCCCCUCAAGCUCCGCUUGGUGUUGGGGCCUGCUGCACUGGCAGCCCUUAAAAUCAGUGGCGGCGCCAUCUGGCUCUAAGCGUAGUAAUUCUUCUCGCUAUGGAGUCCUGGUGGAUGCUUGCCAUCAACCCCCAAUUUUUCUAUGGUUGACCUCGGAUCAGGUAGGGAUACCCGCUGAACUUAAGCAUAUCAAUAAGCGGAGGA
rnacentral:misc_RNA from 1 species